rnacentral:rRNA from 4 species
GGUUAAGCGACUAAGCGUACACGGUGGAUGCCCUGGCAGUCAGAGGCGAUGAAGGGCGUGCUAAUCUGCGAUAAGCGCCGGUAAGGUGAUAUGAACCGUUAUAACCGGCGAUACCCGAAUGGGGAAACCCAGUGUGACUCGUCACACUAUCAUUAACUGAAUCCAUAGGUUAAUGAGGCGAACCGGGGGAACUGAAACAUCUAAGUACCCCGAGGAAAAGAAAUCAACCGAGAUUCCCCCAGUAGCGGCGAGCGAACGGGGAGGAGCCCAGAGCCUGAAUCAGCAUGUGUGUUAGUGGAAGCGUCUGGAAAGGCGCGCGAUACAGGGUGACAGCCCCGUACACAAAAGCGCAUGUGCUGUGAGCUCGAUGAGUAGGGCGGGACACGUGGUAUCCUGUCUGAAUAUGGGGGGACCAUCCUCCAAGGCUAAAUACUCCUGACUGACCGAUAGUGAACCAGUACCGUGAGGGAAAGGCGAAAAGAACCCCGGCGAGGGGAGUGAAAAAGAACCUGAAACCGUGUACGUACAAGCAGUGGGAGCCCCACCACCAAAGCAUUCUCUGGUGUUGAAGGCCCUGCAAAGCAGCAUCGCGGUGGCGGAGCGUCGUUUGCGACGCCCAACACACAAAACAAGCGGUGAAUGCUUUGGGGUGGGGUGACUGCGUACCUUUUGUAUAAUGGGUCAGCGACUUAUAUUCUGUAGCAAGGUUAACCGAAUAGGGGAGCCGGAGGGAAACCGAGUCUUAAUUGGGCGUUAAGUUGCAGGGUAUAGACCCGAAACCCGGUGAUCUAGCCAUGGGCAGGUUGAAGGUUGGGUAACACUAACUGGAGGACCGAACCGACUAAUGUUGAAAAAUUAGCGGAUGACCUGUGGCUGGGGGUGAAAGGCCAAUCAAACCGGGAGAUAGCUGGUUCUCCCCGAAAGCUAUUUAGGUAGCGCCUCGUGAAUUCAUCUCCGGGGGUAGAGCACUGUUUCGGCUAGGGGGCCAUCCCGGCUUACCAACCCGAUGCAAACUGCGAAUACCGGAGAAUGUUAUCACGGGAGACACACGGCGGGUGCUAACGUCCGUCGUGAAGAGGGAAACAACCCAGACCGCCAGCUAAGGUCCCAAAGUCAUGGUUAAGUGGGAAACGAUGUGGGAAGGCCCAGACAGCCAGGAUGUUGGCUUAGAAGCAGCCAUCAUUUAAAGAAAGCGUAAUAGCUCACUGGUCGAGUCGGCCUGCGCGGAAGAUGUAACGGGGCUAAACCAUGCACCGAAGCUGCGGCAGCGACGCUGAUGCGUUGUUGGGUAGGGGAGCGUUCUGUAAGCCUGUGAAGGUGUGUCGUGAGGCAUGCUGGAGGUAUCAGAAGUGCGAAUGCUGACAUAAGUAACGAUAAAGCGGGUGAAAAGCCCGCUCGCCGGAAGACCAAGGGUUCCUGUCCAACGUUAAUCGGGGCAGGGUGAGUCGACCCCUAAGGCGAGGCCGAAAGGCGUAGUCGAUGGGAAACGGGUUAAUAUUCCCGUACUUGGUGUUACUGCGAAGGGGGGACGGAGAAGGCUAUGUUGGCCGGGCGACGGUUGUCCCGGUUUAAGCGUGUAGGUGUGUGUUCCAGGUAAAUCCGGUUCACUUUAACACUGAGGCGUGACGACGAGGCACUACGGUGCUGAAGCAACAAAUGCCCUGCUUCCAGGAAAAGCCUCUAAGCAUCAGGUAACACGAAAUCGUACCCCAAACCGACACAGGUGGUCAGGUAGAGAAUACCAAGGCGCUUGAGAGAACUCGGGUGAAGGAACUAGGCAAAAUGGUGCCGUAACUUCGGGAGAAGGCACGCUGACACGUAGGUGAAGUGAUUUACUCAUGGAGCUGAAGUCAGUCGAAGAUACCAGCUGGCUGCAACUGUUUAUUAAAAACACAGCACUGUGCAAACACGAAAGUGGACGUAUACGGUGUGACGCCUGCCCGGUGCCGGAAGGUUAAUUGAUGGGGUCAGCGUAAGCGAAGCUCCUGAUCGAAGCCCCGGUAAACGGCGGCCGUAACUAUAACGGUCCUAAGGUAGCGAAAUUCCUUGUCGGGUAAGUUCCGACCUGCACGAAUGGCGUAAUGAUGGCCAGGCUGUCUCCACCCGAGACUCAGUGAAAUUGAACUCGCUGUGAAGAUGCAGUGUACCCGCGGCAAGACGGAAAGACCCCGUGAACCUUUACUAUAGCUUGACACUGAACAUUGAGCCUUGAUGUGUAGGAUAGGUGGGAGGCUUUGAAGUGUGGACGCCAGUCUGCAUGGAGCCGACCUUGAAAUACCACCCUUUAAUGUUUGAUGUUCUAACGUGGACCCGUAAUCCGGGUUGCGGACAGUGUCUGGUGGGUAGUUUGACUGGGGCGGUCUCCUCCUAAAGAGUAACGGAGGAGCACGAAGGUUGGCUAAUCCUGGUCGGACAUCAGGAGGUUAGUGCAAUGGCAUAAGCCAGCUUGACUGCGAGCGUGACGGCGCGAGCAGGUGCGAAAGCAGGUCAUAGUGAUCCGGUGGUUCUGAAUGGAAGGGCCAUCGCUCAACGGAUAAAAGGUACUCCGGGGAUAACAGGCUGAUACCGCCCAAGAGUUCAUAUCGACGGCGGUGUUUGGCACCUCGAUGUCGGCUCAUCACAUCCUGGGGCUGAAGUAGGUCCCAAGGGUAUGGCUGUUCGCCAUUUAAAGUGGUACGCGAGCUGGGUUUAGAACGUCGUGAGACAGUUCGGUCCCUAUCUGCCGUGGGCGCUGGAGAACUGAGGGGGGCUGCUCCUAGUACGAGAGGACCGGAGUGGACGCAUCACUGGUGUUCGGGUUGUCAUGCCAAUGGCACUGCCCGGUAGCUAAAUGCGGAAGAGAUAAGUGCUGAAAGCAUCUAAGCACGAAACUUGCCCCGAGAUGAGUUCUCCCUGAGACUUUAGGUCUCCUGAAGGAACGUUGAAGACGACGACGUUGAUAGGCCGGGUGUGUAAGCGCAGCGAUGCGUUGAGCUAACCGGUACUAAUGAACCGUGAGGCUUAACCUU